UACAUGGGGUGCAAACGUUGACUCGGAAUUAUUGGGCGUAAAGCGCGCGCAGGCGGUCCUUUAAGUCUGAUGUGAAAGCCCCACGGCUCAACCGUGGAGGGUCAUUGGAAACUGGGGGACUUGAGUGCAGAAGAGGAAAGCGGAAUUCCACGGUGUAGCGGAUGAAAUGCGUAGAGAAUGUGGAGGAACACCAGUGGCGAAGGCGGCGUUUCCUGGUCUG
rnacentral:rRNA from 1 species